AUUGAACGCUGGCGGCAGGCCUAACACAUGCAAGUCGAGCGGAUGAAGGGAGCUUGCUCCUGGAUUCAGCGGCGGACGGGUGAGUAAUGCCUAGGAAUCUGCCUGGUAGUGGGGGAUAACGUCCGGAAACGGGCGCUAAUACCGCAUCCGUCCUGAGGGAGAAAGUGGGGGAUCUUCGGACCUCACGCUAUCAGAUGAGCCUAGGUCGGAUUAGCUAGUUGGUGGGGUAAAGGCCUACCAAGGCGACGAUCCGUAACUGGUCUGAGAGGAUGAUCAGUCACACUGGAACUGAGACACGGUCCAGACUCCUACGGGAGGCAGCAGUGGGGAAUAUUGGACAAUGGGCGAAAGCCUGAUCCAGCCAUGCCGCGUGUGUGAAGAAGGUCUUCGGAUUGUAAAGCACUUUAAGUUGGGAGGAGGGGCAGUAAGUUAAUACCUUGCUGUUUUGACGUUACCAACAGAAUAAGCACCGGCUAACUUCGUG
rnacentral:rRNA from 1 species